AUUAAGAAGAGGAUCCUAUUGGUUACCUCGGUAAGGAACUCUCACCUCUCUCAUAAACUGACACCUCUGUACACUUCUCAUUUAUUCAUGGUAGCAUUUGGUAAUUGCCAAAUUGCUCAUUCUCCCAAAAAUUCAUACAUUUUCCUCAAUUUCACUCUCAUUUUUCUUCACCUUUUUUUUAAGAGUUGAAUUGAAGAAGAUUUUCUGCACUACUAAAGUUUUGAUCUUUGGGAAGGAAAAUGGUGGAACAUUUAGAGUGUAAACAUUGCAAGACAUGGGAAGAAGAAAUGUACUGGAAACAUUUCAACUCCAUGCAUUUCUUCCAGACCUUAACCCCAAACUUCCAUGAUCAUCUUGUACUGCCUGAGAAAUUCACUGCACACAUGAGAUCUCAGUUGCCAGAUAAAGUAUUUCUUAAAAGCCCGA